GAUGAACGCUAGCUACAGGCUUAACACAUGCAAGUCGAGGGCAGCAUUAGGUAGCAAUACUGAGAUGGCGACCGGCGCACGGGUGCGUAACGCGUAUCCAACCUUCCCGUUACUCUCGGAUAGCCUUCCGAAAGGGAGAUUAAUACGAGAUGGUGUUUGAAUUCCGCAUGUUAUUCAAACUAAAGAUUCAUUGGUAAUGGAUGGGGAUGCGUGACAUUAGGUAGUUGGUGAGGUAACGGCUCACCAAGCCCACGAUGUCUAGGGGUUCUGAGAGGAAGGUCCCCCACACUGGAACUGAGACACGGUCCAGACUCCUACGGGAGGCAGCAGUGAGGAAUAUUGGUCAAUGGACGAGAGUCUGAACCAGCCAAGUAGCGUGCAGGAUGACGGCCCUCUGGGUUGUAAACUGCUUUUAGUUGGGAAUAAAAAGAGGGACGUGUCCCUAAUUGUAUGUACCAUCAGAAAAAGGACCGGCUAAUUCCGUG
rnacentral:rRNA from 1 species